rnacentral:tRNA from 1 species
GGCCAUAUCUCAUCUGGGAGAGCACCUGCUUUGCAAGCAGGGGGUCGGCGGUUCGAUCCCGCCUGGCUCCACCAGG